GUUAUAUCCCGUAUUUUUGAACGUCAGAUUAUUUGCUAAGGUGGGGCCCGCACAUCAAGAUUUUUUUUGGAACAUCUGAAAAGUCAUAUGAAUCACAUAUGUGGAGUUAAACACAACUCAAGAAGGACCCUUGGGCCAAAUCAAAGUGGAAGCCCUCCAAACGAAUAUUUUUAAGAAAACGUUUUCGGGUGACCUGACUUUGAGGGGCAAAAACGGUAUUAUAAGUUUGGAAUUUGGAAAAUUACCGGGAAAUAGAAGUUGUAGAUAAUUGAAUUAGAUUUCCAUCCAUAGGUCUUGGGUUCCCAGGUGACGUCGGUACAAGGAGAUAUGGACGUUUUAAGGUCGAAAGGUCAGUGGGCUAGGCCCAACUCGGGACCAACCGGGUUGGCCCAAAAAAAAAAAAAAAAAAAGGAAUUAAGGCCCAAAAGAGAUGGGGUGGCCGGCCAACAUGGCCCAAGCCCAUGGAAUUUUAUUAAUUUCCAUGUGCUAAAUUAAAAUAAAGGACCAUAUAUGAGUCAUAUUUCAUUAGAAGCUUUAAGAGAAUUAGACAAGGAGAAAAACAAGAAUAACAAGAGCAAGAAGAGCCUAUACGGCUUUGGCCAUAGAAAAAUUUAGCCCUUUGAAAUCUUUCUCCAAAAAUUGUUUUCUUGUGGUAUUUCCACUAAUUCAAGGGUCCUUUACAACUUGGUGUAGUUGUUUUGGAAGAAAGAGCAUUUGUUUCUUCAAGUUGACAACUUGGUCAAGUGAAGAAGAUUGUGGAAAAAGAUUUUUGACGAAACGGGAAUUGAAUUUGGACUAGCGUAAAGGGCGAAAAAGGUAUGUAAAGCUUUACCUAUUCUUCUCUUGGCAUGUCCUAGGUAUGAUAGGCUUUGAUUCGAGCCUCGGGGACGACUCUACUCUUCGGAAUCUACGUCCAAAUUUGUCCCUUUUUCAUUCAGUAGAAUUGAAUUGAAUAUGUUAUGAAUAAUUGGAAAAAAUUGCCUAAACAUCCGGAAUUUGUGCAAAUAGGACCCGACUACCCGAAAACUCUUAAAAGUGACAUCAUGAAAUGUAAUAUACGUAAAAUUAUGUACGCCACCUCAUUUGACCUGAGGUGGGCCCACUAUUCCCGGAUUUUUCUUAUUUGUUCCGUUUGACUUAUUUUGAAGUAGAAUCUGAAGGAAACUUUUGGCUACUCUUUUUGCUACUAUACGACGGUUGUUUUGAAUUAUUUCAUAAGCCCCAUAAUGUAUUUUGAAAUAUGAAGACGUUUUCUGAAAGCCUAUUUGACAUAAACCAUUGUGACAUCUGAAAGACAUAUAUUAUGACUAUUGCUCAAUUUCUUACGUAUAUGAUUUAACAUCUGAAUUAUGCUAUCGAGUCCCUGACUACUAAGCGAUAAUUGUUUUAACUAUUCUAUUGAAUUCUACGAUAUUUUGAUAUGUACAAAUAAUCUCAGCAUUUUUACUUGGUAACAUCCGAAAGGUACGUACUAUGACUAUCGUCUGAUUUCUUUUUAUGACCUAUGAUUACUUUGUCGAGUCUUUUCGAAUGUUUUAUGAUGCAUAUAGUUUCUCACUACUCUACUCGUGGAUGCCUCAAUACUUCCUUCACUGAGCCCGGGCCAGGAUAUGUUAUCACGCGUAUUCCACUGCAUUGUUCGCCGUGCCUCGAUGUGAGAGGGCAGGUAUGACAUGUACAUGGGUUCUGGAGUUAUGCUGUGCCAUGUACAUAUAUUCUGACAUUUGAUGAUAUGAUAUGAUAUGUGCACACUCUGAUAUUUGAUAUGAUAUGGCCAUCUGAUAUGUUAUGAUAUGUUACGGAGAUAUUCCCUACUCUGAAGUUAUGCUGUGUUGUGGCGCCAGUGACGGGGUGGCGACCACGUUCUGUUCACCGUGUCCCAUAAUGAGGUCGGAUAUGGCAUAUGUUUUGACAUGCACUAUCUAUGUUAUAUGAGUACACCCAGAUGAUAUGAAGUUACUAUAGGGGAUGUCCCAGUAGAGUUGGCAAGCUCCAUUUGCUCCUGGAGUGCUGCCGAGUCAGAGUUCGUACGUGUGAUUCUUCUGGAUUGAUAUAGAGACUUUGCAGACAGAGUCGUGGGUAUAGUACGUCAGUUAUGUAUGCGGCUUCAUCAGCCGAUAUGCCAUUCUGUAUUAUGUGUUGAAUUCUGUAUGAUCACAGAUUCUGUUUGAUUCGGAAAGCAUCGAACAAGCAUAUUUUGAGA